GCUUUACACAUGCAAGUCGAACGGCAGCACGGACUUCGGUCUGGUGGCGAGUGGCGAACGGGUGAGUAAUAUAUCGGAACGUAUCCAAUAAUGGGGGAUAACUAAUCGAAAGGUUGGCUAAUACCGCAUACGCCCUACGGGGGAAAGCAGGGGAUCUUCGGACCUUGCGUUAAUGGAGCGGCUGAUAUCUGAUUAGCUAGUUGGUGAGGUAAAGGCUCACCAAGGCGACGAUCAGUAGCUGGUCUGAGAGGACGACCAGCCACACUGGAACUGAGACACGGUCCAGACUCCUACGGGAGGCAGCAGUGGGGAAUUUUGGACAAUGGGCGCAAGCCUGAUCCAGCCAUUCCGCGUGAGUGAAGAAGGCCUUCGGGUUGUAAAGCUCUUUCGCAAGGGAAGAAAACUUACUUUUUAAUAAAGAGUGAGGUUGACGGUACCUUGAUAAGAAGCACCGGCUAACUACGUGCCAGCAGCCGCGGUAAUACGUAGGGUGCGAGCGUUAAUCGGAAUUACUGGGCGUAAAGCGUGCGCAGGCGGUUUUGUAAGUCAGAUGUGAAAUCCCCGAGCUCAACUUGGGAACUGCGUUUGAAACUACAAGACUAGAAUAUGUCAGAGGGGGGUAGAAUUCCACGUGUAGCAGUGAAAUGCGUAGAGAUGUGGAGGAAUACCAAUGGCGAAGGCAGCCCCCUGGGAUAAUAUUGACGCUCAUGCACGAAAGCGUGG
rnacentral:rRNA from 1 species